rnacentral:tRNA from 1 species
GCCUGGGUGGCUCAGUUGGUUAAGUGUCUGACUUUGGCUCAGGUCAUGAUCUCGUGGUUCGUGGGUUCGAGCCCCGCAUCGGGCU